rfam:Anoxybacillus amylolyticus strain DSM 15939, complete genome.
CUCUGUUUCGAAACGAUUCAGGGCGGAAGGAG